CUUUGCACACACUUAUUUUUUUAUUCUUACUAAACCGUGAGCCCAAGGAUAGGUCAAAAAAUCCGAAGAAGAGAAAGGCAACAAGCGCUAAUAUCAUUUUAAAGAUUCCACUGAUAGAACUGAAUAGACCAAUUUCUCGCUACGAUUCAAAUAUUUCAACUCUUCAAAUUUGAUUAGCGAAGAAAAUGAAAUUGAUCGUAUACGGUUCAAAAACCUAUGACGCAUUUACUGUCUUGAUAAGUUGGUUAGAAAAAAUUCUCUUGGAGACGGUCAGAUGAGGAUGGUACCGAGCGCUUUGCUCCCUGAAGUUUUGUCGGUGCACUUCUUGAAGAACACUCCUUUUAAAAAAAGAAAAAAAUAAAAUGCUCCACAUACUCCACAUAUAAAAGAUGUGGCUUAAGUUGAACAGUACGUAUGAACCGAUGAAUAAACGGAUAGAACGAGCAUACAAUUUGUAUAUAUAACUAUUACAGGCUAACAUAAUGAUGCGAUUAUAUUAAAGUGACAAAUCGAGAAAAAACAAAACUUUAAUACUGUUCACGCAUCAUUAUAAGAUCACUACGUCGGCAGAUAGUUUCCAUUUACAGCAUGCCUAAGAGUAAUAAACUAGACAAAAAUGAAUAAAAAAAAAGUUUUUACGUAA